AGCUUGCUCUCUGGAUCAGUGGCGAACGGGUGAGUAACACGUGAGCAAUCUGCCCCUGACUCUGGGAUAAGCGCUGGAAACGGCGUCUAAUACUGGAUACGAGCUGCGAAGGCAUCUUCAGCAGCUGGAAAGAAUUUCGGUCAGGGAUGAGCUCGCGGCCUAUCAGCUUGUUGGUGAGGUAACGGCUCACCAAGGCGUCGACGGGUAGCCGGCCUGAGAGGGUGACCGGCCACACUGGGACUGAGACACGGCCCAGACUCCUACGGGAGGCAGCAGUGGGGAAUAUUGCACAAUGGGCGAAAGCCUGAUGCAGCAACGCCGCGUGAGGGACGACGGCCUUCGGGUUGUAAACCUCUUUUAGCAGGGAAGAAGCGAAAGUGACGGUACCUGCAGAAAAAGCGCCGGCUAACUACGUGCCAGCAGCCGCGGUAAUACGUAGGGCGCAAGCGUUAUCCGGAAUUAUUGGGCGUAAAGAGCUCGUAGGCGGUUUGUCGCGUCUGCUGUGAAAACCCGAGGCUCAACCUCGGGCCCUGCAGUGGGUACGGGCAGACUAGAGUGCGGUAGGGGAGAUUGGAAUUCCUGGUGUAGCGGUGGAAUGCGCAGAUAUCAGGAGGAACACCGAUGGGCGAAGGCAGAUCUCUGGGCCGUAACUGACGCUGAGGAGCGAAAGGGUGGGGAGCAAACAGGCUUAGAUACCCUGGUAGUCCACCCCGUAAACGUUGGGAACUAGUUGUGGGGUCCAUUCCACGGAUUCCGUGACGCAGCUAACGCAUUAAGUUCCCCGCCUGGGGAGUACGGCCGCAAGGCUAAAACUCAAAGGAAUUGACGGGGACCCGCACAAGCGGCGGAGCAUGCGGAUUAAUUCGAUGCAACGCGAAGAACCUUACCAAGGCUUGACAUAUACGAGAACGCUGCAGAAAUGUAGAACUCUUUGGACACUCGUAAACAGGUGGUGCAUGGUUGUCGUCAGCUCGUGUCGUGAGAUGUUGGGUUAAGUCCCGCAACGAGCGCAACCCUCGUUCUAUGUUGCCAGCACGUAAUGGUGGGAACUCAUGGGAUACUGCCGGGGUCAACUCGGAGGAAGGUGGGGAUGACGUCAAAUCAUCAUGCCCCUUAUGUCUUGGGCUUCACGCAUGCUACAAUGGCCGGUACAAAGGGCUGCAAUACCGUAAGGUGGAGCGAAUCCCAAAAAGCCGGUCCCAGUUCGGAUUGAGGUCUGCAACUCGACCUCAUGAAGUCGGAGUCGCUAGUAAUCGCAGAUCAGCAACGCUGCGGUGAAUACGUUCCCGGGUCUUGUACACACCGCCCGUCAAGUCAUGAAAGUCGGUAACACCUGAAGCCGGUGGCCUAACCC
rnacentral:rRNA from 1 species